UACGGAGGGAGCUAGCGUUAUUCGGAAUUACUGGGCGUAAAGCGCACGUAGGCGGCUUUGUAAGUUAGAGGUGAAAGCCCGGAGCUCAACUCCGAAGAUUGCCUUUAAGACUGCAUCGCUUAGACUGUGAGAGGUAAGUGGAAUUCCGAGUGUAGAGGUGAAAUUCGUAGAUAUUCGGAAGAACACCAGUGGCGAAGGCGACUUACUGGACACAUAUUGACGCUGAGGUGCGAAAGCGUGGGGAGCAAACAGG
rnacentral:rRNA from 1 species